UACGUAGGGUGCGAGCGUUAAUCGGAAUUACUGGGCGUAAAGCGUGCGCAGGCGGUGAUGUAAGACAGAUGUGAAAUCCCCGGGCUCAACCUGGGAACUGCAUUUGUGACUGCAUCGCUGGAGUGCGGCAGAGGGGGAUGGAAUUCCGCGUGUAGCAGUGAAAUGCGUAGAUAUGCGGAGGAACACCGAUGGCGAAGGCAAUCCCCCUGGGGCCCU
rnacentral:rRNA from 1 species